UAGAUACCCUGUUACUUAUAGCUAAGAAAUUUUGGAAUAGUAAUAAUUAUAAAAUUUAUCAGAUUUGGCGGCAAGAUAGCCUUUUAGAGGAACCUGCCCUGUAAACGAUGAACCACGAAAUACCUUGCUUUUAUUUGUUAUCAGUUUGUAUACCGCUGUUGUCAGUUAGUUUUUCUAAAAAACUUUCUUUAUGAUAAAGUCAUUUACUUCAAGUAAAGGUGCAGCUUAUGUAAAAGAUAGAGGUGGGUUACAUUUAUGAGAAUAAAACGAACAAUAUACUGAAAAUAAUUUUGAAGGCGGAUUUAAUUGUAAAGUUUAAAAAAACUUGAUUUGAGCUCUAUCUUGUGUACACACCGCCCGUC
rnacentral:rRNA from 1 species